rnacentral:rRNA from 1 species
AGUGAACGCUGGCGGCGUGCCUAAUACAUGCAAGUCGAACGGAUUGGCGCCCGGGUGAGUAAUAUAUCGCUACUCUGCCCCUUGCUGGAGGACAACAGUUAGAAAUGCCUUCUCAUACUUCAUAGCAAGGGAUGGGACUAUAUCUUAUCAGCUAGUCGGUGGGGUAACGGCCUACCGAGGCUAUGACGCGUACCUGGUCUGAGAGUAUGAUCAGUCACAUUGGAACUGAGACACGGUCCAAACUCCUACGGGAGGAAGCAGGAGGGAAUAUUGCGCAAUGGGGGAAACCCUGACGCAGCAACGCCGCGUGGAGGAUGACACUUGUCGGAGCGUAAACUCCUUUUGUUAGGGAAGCGGUAACUAACGAAUAAGCACCGGCUAACGCCGUGCCAGCCGCCGCGGUAAUAC